CUCACCUUAUCAUUUUACUUGCUCUACAUUCAUGCCUAGACUUAUCAGGUAUUGGCACACCUGGUUUAUCCAGGGGAUGUACAUUCUAAGUUUGAGCAUUCUCUUGGUGUGUAUUGGCUUGCGGGUGAAGCUGUCCAAAAGCUCAAAACUUAUCAGGGUUUGGAGCUUGGUAUUGAUCGAUUUGAUGUUCUAGCAAUGAAAGUUGAGCAAGUUGAUAUAAACUAGUUUGAUUUUUUUUUUAAUUUCAAAGGGAUCUUACGUAAUCAAAGGCAAUUUGACUUGUUGCAUGA